UACGUAGGCAGCAAGCGUUGUUCGGAAUUACUGGGCGUAAAGAGUGUGUAGGCGGUGCUCCAAGUCUGGUGUGAAAUCUCCCGGCUUAACUGGGAGGGUGCAUUAGAAACUGGAAUGCUAGAGGAUGGGAGAGGUAAGCGGAAUUCCUGGUGUAGCGGUGAAAUGCGUAGAUAUCAUGAGGAAUACCAGAGGCGAAGGCGGCUACCUGGACAAUUGCUGACGCUCAGGCACGAAAGCGUGGGGAGCAAAAGGG
rnacentral:rRNA from 1 species